rnacentral:rRNA from 1 species
CCCGCUGAACUUAAGCAUAUCACUCAGCGGAGGAAAAGAAAACAAAUGUGAUUCCCCCAGUAACGGCGAGUGAACAGGGAUGAAGCCCAGCGUGAAGGCCCUCCUCGGCAGUCGAGGAGAGCGGUGCCACGUGGGUGACUCGGUGAUUGCUUGCACCUUUCGCAGACACAAGUUCCCUUGAGUGGGACGCCGAAGCAGGUGGGAGCCCUGUAGUGACUGUUCGGGAGCAACUAGCCGGGUCAUGGCAGAGUCGACUUGCUUGGGAGUGCAAGUUAAAGUACCAGGUAGGCUCCUGGUAAGGCUGAAUACUACCGUCAGACCGAUAGCGAACAAGUACCGUGAGGGAAAGUUGCAAAGUACUUUGAAGAGAGAGUUAAAGAGAACGUGAAACGGCCAACAGGCAAACGAAUGGAGCUGCGAAGACGUGGCGGAGUGCAGCCAAGAGGUUGCAGUCUUGUUGUGGAUAGUGCUUGUUGAGGGGCAUUUACAACUUGUGCUGUAGCCAGGAGGUGUAUACUGUCGUCACAGUGCUGUGAGCGGUUGUAUGAUGGGCAGUAAUCACGAGGUGCGGAUGGUGGGAAUUAUUGCAAUUCUUUUAGCCGUGUCUCGCAUCUGUCCAUGCAAUGACUGCAUUUAUUCCCAGUAAUGGGUAAGUGGAAGAGUAGGCCAGGCGGACUGUUGUUGGUGGUUGUGGCAAGUCGUGCGAACAGCUCGACCCUACUUCCAGUGGCAACAGGCAAGGCUGGUCGAGGCUUCCACAUCACAGCAGUAGUGGUCUCUAUUCGACCCGUCUUGAAACACGG